rnacentral:rRNA from 1 species
UACGGAGGGGGCUAGCGUUAUUCGGAAUUACUGGGCGUAAAGCGUUCGUAGGCGGCUUUGUAAGUCAGAGGUGAAAGCCCACGACUCAAUCGUGGGACUGCCUUUGAGACUGCUUCGCUUGAAGAUGGGAGAGGUUAGUGGAAUUCCGAGUGUAGAGGUGAAAUUCGUAGAUAUUCGGAAGAACACCAGUGGCGAAGGCGGCUAACUGGACCACAACUGACGCUGAGGUGCGAAAGCGUGGGGAGCAAACAGG